rnacentral:rRNA from 1 species
GAUGAACGCUGGCGGCGUGCUUAACACAUGCAAGUCGAACGAAGCACUCUAUUUGAUUUUCUUCGGAAAUGAAGAUUUUGUGACUGAGUGGCGGACGGGUGAGUAACGCGUGGGUAACCUGCCUCAUACAGGGGGAUAACAGUUGGAAACGACUGCUAAUACCGCAUAAGCGCACAGGAUUGCAUGAUCCGGUGUGAAAAACUCCGGUGGUAUGAGAUGGACCCGCGUCUGAUUAGCCAGUUGGCAGGGUAACGGCCUACCAAAGCGACGAUCAGUAGCCGACCUGAGAGGGUGACCGGCCACAUUGGGACUGAGACACGGCCCAAACUCCUACGGGAGGCAGCAGUGGGGAAUAUUGCACAAUGGGGGAAACCCUGAUGCAGCGACGCCGCGUGAGCGAAGAAGUAUUUCGGUAUGUAAAGCUCUAUCAGCAGGGAAGAA